GUUCUACACACCUCUAUUGGUUGUCAUACUUACAGCCGCCAGAGACGCUUCCACUGCACUGACGUGAUGUCACAACAGCUCAUCAAGCAUGAUGAGCUCCAUUUCAGGUCCUCUACGAGGCACAUUGGAUUAACCAGAGGAAGCCAUGUCUUCUCAAUGACAUUGCAGAAGGGUGAGAGAUGAACUGCCUCAAUGGAGUUAUAAGGAUUUGUG